rnacentral:sRNA from 1 species
UUACAAAUAUUUAACCCCAUCCACAGGCUCACAGGUUAACCCUUGACCCCAAGCUGGCGGUGCUGCUUUGGGAGGUGGUGGAAGCUGUAGGAGGCAGGGCCUCAGUUGAGGAAGUGGGUCAGCAUGGCUCUGCAUUCUCAAGACACAACAAUCCAGAGGCAGUGACAUGAAUGCUUGCUCCGUGGACAGGUGGAAAAAUGACUGGGGAUAAAGGAUGGAUGAGAGCAGGACCUGCUGUCUCACAGCAGCGCCACACAGAACCCCACCUGCUGUGGAAUGCACACGAGCCAUUUUAGAGCAUGGGGGAAAUGUGGUAAAAUCCUUUAAAAUCUUCCUGACGAGUAAAUUCCUGGAAAGCAAUUAAUGUGGAAGGCUUUCAGGGACCAGAGGGAGUGGCAGAUAGCUUGAAUCCUGUUUCCUGAGUGGUCAGCCACGGACAUCACUCCAAACCAGGUAGCAAAGAGUGUGCUUUUUACAUCUCUGUUCUAGGAAGAACAUUUGCACAACUUCUAGCAACAUUCUUGGGUCAGUGGCCAUGACCCUGAGGCAAUGCUUAGCGCUACAGUGAUCGUUUGACUCCACACGGUACUACAAAAAGUGAAGCAGUGAAAGCCCUGGGCCACACCAACAAGCACGUGACAAGAGAGACGCUUGCUCAUACGACAGAGGCCUGCAUCCCUUAGGCAGAGUACUGACCAUGAUUGGAUGCGAAUGGAAGAAUGUCAACUAAGGAUUGUGUCUAUAUAGAAAAUCAUUAGCCAAACACCACAGGGCUAAUUAAUGUCAUUUGAAAUACUUUCUGUGUAUGUUGAAUAGAGUGCCGCCAUUAUCAUCUGGCCAAACGAAAUGCCUGCCCAUAAACAACAUGGAGCUAUUUAACAGGAUAGCUAAUUACAUCUCGUCUCACAGCCCCAACUGAUCCUAAGCAACAACUCCCUAAGCUGUGUUGUAGUGCAAGGUAGCCUAAGGCUCUGGGGCAGUUACUGAAUCAUGAGAUUUUACUGUUAGAACUUGUUCGGUGUGUUUAAAAACCACCAAAAUAUUGAAUGGAGUAAAGUUACUAGGGAGACCGCAGCUUGGAAAGAGGCAGAGGAGAUCAAGAUAGAGAGGGACACUUCAAAAGCCACGCUCGGGCUCACAGGCACCUGGCACGAAGCUAAGAAUGCUGGGGGAAUGGGAGGGAAAGUACCAAGCCCUGUGCUUUGCUCCAGGUCACCUGGUUCUAUGCGGCACCCUUGUGGGUGGCCUGUGGCAUCUAUGGCUGGAGGCAGCUGCAUGUGUUUCCAUGGUCUUCAGGUGGCAGGUUCUCUUUUUACCAAGCACUUUGUAUAAACUGUUCCCUUCAGCCUUCCUUCUUCACAUACAUUCUAUAGGAGGUUUAUUUUGGGCCCAAGGCGUGCUUCUCUCUGCAUUUGAUCUCAAAGCAAGCUCGUUGAAAAGAGGACCAGAGACCUAGACAAACCUUAUGGACUUGUGUCAUCCUUCUAUGUAUGCAAGAGACACAUUCCAGGUCCCCCCAUAGGCACCCAAGUUCUCACAUGCUCCGCUGUGGCAUUGCCAUAGAUCUGUACACAUCCCAGUGUGUGUAUUUUGAAUUGUCUCUAGACAAGUUUUGAUGAUAUUGCUGUGUCCAUGCCAGGGAGACAUUUGUUAAUGCUGCAUUGUGUUGGGGAUAAAGACAAGGGGAAAGCCACUCAUGCUCUGUGCAGAGGCAUUUUCAGUAAUCCCCCACCAUGGGGGAGGGAGGUCAGUUAAACCCUAGUGUCCAGGUUGGCUUUUUACUGCUGUGAUAAACACCAUGACCAAAAGCAAAUUGGGGAGAAAAGACUUCAUCUUAUGGCUUAUCGUGCAUCAUCCAGCAAGGCCAGGGCAGGAACUUGAGACAGGGACCUGGAAGGACGUACGAACUAAAGCAGAGACCAUAGAGGAAUGCUACUUACUCUCUUGCCUCCACUGCUUGUUCAUACAGCUCAGGACCACCUCCCACAACGAACUCCAUCCCCCAACCCACGUCCACCUUUAAUCAAGAGUCUUUCCUACAAACCAAUCUAAUGGAGGUAGUUUCUCAGCUGAGUGCUACUCCUCUACUAGUUUGUGUCAGGUUGACAAAUACUAACUAGCACCCUGGAUACAGCAGAUGUCAUGGAUACAAAGGGCUGGCUGCAGUGAUGGGACACUGGCCACCUUACUACCUUACUUCCUACCUACGAUGUGUCAAAGUCCAUCUCACUUUAAACCUAAAGGAGAAAAUAAUUUUGAAUAUUUUUCUUGAUUUUUUUCCCCAAAUGGGAUAUGGGAAAAAAGUACAACAUUACUGGGUCAUUAUUGUUCGUUUUCAGAACAAUGACAGAAUCUGAAAUCAUAUGGGAAAUGGACUCUGGGUUGGAACCCAGAACCUUGUCCCUCCCACUUAGGCAUGUGCUCUUACACUGAGCUACACCCUUGGCCUCAUACCUUCAUUUCUAAAAAUAAUGCCAAUGUGUAAUUGUGAGGAUUAAAGUAACAUGGAGACAAAUGAGUACACACUUCAUGUGCAUCAAAGCGGAGUCAUGCUAGGAAUUGCCUGGAGUGGACAUCUGUCUUAGGAGUUGCCAGGGAUGCUCAUAAUGACUCACAAAGUCUUCAGUGUGCUCCUUGACAUACAGUUUGUGUCACUGGUAUGGUCUUGGCCAGCUGCUCUCCAAUGUUUCCUCUAACUGGCUGCUCUCUGGACAUACCAUGAACCCCUCUGAGAACAAGCUUUUGCAGUGUAUCAGGGCCAACACCACUUGGCUUUUGAGAUGCUAUCUAUGUUUUCCAGCUACAGUGGUUUGUGACAUGCCUGGGCCUGUCCCAGUCUAUCCUAUGGAGACUGUUUACCUGCCUUUUUAAUGCUACAUACAUAUUCAGGUAAGCAGCCUGACGAUGAAUGAUGGCUGUAAGAAGCCAUUUCCAACAGUAGGUUGGGGUCUUGGUGGAUCUCAUGAUGCUCUUCUGUGGGGCUUCUGUAGACUUCAAGGACCAGUAAGCAGUUUUCACCCACAUGGGGGUAUGAGAUGUGAGAGGUGUUUUCUUGCUUUGUUCUCUUACAACUUUUCAAAUUAUAUGAAUGUAAUAAAAAGCAUACAUUAUUAAAAAUUUUAACUAGGUAUUUCACAUAUGGAGCUGUGAAGAAUUUCUUUUGGUGCCAAAAUGUCAUAAGGAAAAAAAGUAUGAGCUUUGUGAUUUGUGGACCUGCUAUGUAGGCAAUCUUUUUCAAAGUUGUAUUUUUCAAGAGGUGUUGGAACAUUUUUCUCCAUAAGGAUCACAGGUGGGAAACUCUUCAUAUACUGCUUCUACAAGUUGGAAAUUUUCCUUGUUUGAGGAUAAUGCAGAAAACAUUCAGUCCUCCAUGUUUGGUUGCUUUAUUUCUUCCUUUAGCCACAUUGCAGAGAACUUUCUAGAAAAGAAUUAAGAAUAUGCACCAAGAAACUCAUCACCACAACUGAGCACACAAUGGAUGACGCAACCAUGCAGUUGUUUUGUGAUUACCAAGCUCAUGAAGAAUGAACAAUAGACAUUGGAUGCAUUGGUUCAUGCUGUAGCCGCUGUAAUCAGGAAGCUGUGGGAGGAAGAACCCAAGUAGGAAGCCAAUCUGGAUACAUAGGGAUAGCCUGUCUAAGAAAACUAAAAAACUGUAUUCUGAAUACAACCCAAUGGCUUAAAGUAUCACUUAUAAGGAAACUGUAAACUUGCAAAACACUUAGAUUAUUUUUCUAAGGUUCCAAAGUAAGUGUAAUCGGUAAAGUUAAAAACUGUGGAGACAAUUAAGAGCAUGUAUGAGUCAGAUACUGGAAGCCUAGAAAGGAUCAAAAUUUAGAUCAAACAUGGGUUCUACUAAGGAUAUGCCCCCUAGCACUGUUUGGUCAAAGACCCACUAAUAUAUCCACCAAUAAUAAAGAGAACCUGUUCAAGUGUGUGUGUGCUGGAAUGACGCUCUUUGCUUUUCCAUUUUUUCCUGUCCAUUUGCCAGUACCAUUCCUUCUUAGUAUUUGUCGUGGUGGAAUGAUGUUCUGAGGACGUCUGAGGUUGGUACUAUGAGAGUUAUUUGUAAUGCUCAACUUGACACAGUGAAGGGAGGGUCAAUGUGGAAACUUCUGGGCUAGGAUGGCCUAUCAGGGGUGUUUGUGGGCAACUGUCAUGGUUACCUGCACAUGUGGGAAGAUCCGUGUGCAGCAUCUAUCUGUGACUUUGGAUCCUGAACUGUUGAGUGAUCAGAAAGUAGCUCAUUGAUUUCUGCUCCCAUUACUGCGUCUUCUCAGCUAUGUUGAACUGUGACCAGGAAUUGUGAGCCAAAAUAAAAAUUGCUUUUUAGGGUUCUUUAUCACAGCAACAAGAAAUAAAACUAAUCUAGAAACUGAACUUUAAGAAUUUAUUUAAACUCCACCUAGCCCAGAAGUUUCCACAUGGAUCCCAGCAGCCAGGAAAUGGAAGGAAAAAAUAUUCAUUCAUGGGGAGACAAUUAUACUUUCUUGAGCCACUGUACUUUCCGGAGUUAUGUCAUUUUACUGAAAUGGAGCCUUAUAAAUGGCAUAGCCCUGGUGUUUAAAAAUAAUGUAAUAUUCUUUGCAGCAUUCUUACAGAAUGAAUGAAGCACAGAUCCUGCUCAUUCUUCCUGUGUCCACUAUCCACACCAAAAGAAGAUCUACCCAAGUCGAAACCAUCACUCCAUCUGUUACUAUCACUCUUUGGAGUUCAGGACCCCAUCUGCUCCCAAGAGAGCAUGGUUGAAGGUCAGGGGUGGAGUCAGGAACAUUGGUUAGCAUGUUCAGCCCGAGUAGCUGCUGAGUCAGCAUCCAUUACAUCAUUUCUGCUCAUUCCCCAGGCCCUUCUCCAGGUCAUGCUGGACUCCUCCCUGCCAUGUGUCCUGCUCUUGGUGUCACCCUGUUCUUUGGCCCCAGUCUCCUCCUGCCGUCCUCAGAUGGAGGCAGACUCCAUGGAUGCCUGUCUUCUGUAUCUGGUAAACAGACACAGGAAAAUUGCUAGUUCAAAGUCAGCUAGAGCCACAAGGUCCCACUUCACAUUCUGAGUAACUGUCCCAGCUUCUGGAGAGCAAACAGAACAUGCUAAGGACCGUGACAUGGGAAGGUCAGUAGAGACAUCUAUUCUCCCAGUGAUGCUCAUACGGAAACAAUGUGUGACUGAAGUCAAAUGGAAAUACAAAAGCGUAUUUAUUCCUGGUCUAUGCAGUUCCUUGGACACCUGAUACCUCUCUCCUGCUAACAAGAGUUUCAACAAUGUUCACACACACAGAUGCCCCCAACUGGAGACAUAUCUAUAAAAAAAAUCUAUGAUGAAUUUUACUUGGAGCUAUAACAGCAAAAGUUCAAACAAUAUGCAUUCUUGAAAAACAGAAGAGUAAAAAAUAAAAGAUUACUGUAAUAUCCCAAACAAACAGAGAAGUGGUUGAUAUAUUUCUCUGAAGACUCUGGCUUGAUUCAUGUGUCCCACAGAGCACCAGGGAUCAGGUACCAAUAGGCUGGGUCUCAAGACUUUAGAGUCCCGAGGGUGCAGGGCGUGAGGAGACAAGGUUGAGCUGUAUGAAACAUAAUAGAAAACUUAAAAAUGAAACGAAGAGCGAAACAGCAGAAGUCAAGCAAAUGGCGGACACGGAGAGACACAGUAAGAAAAUGGCAACAUAUUUAGAUGUUGCUGCCUGCCGUGUGCUGUGGCUGCUGUGGCUACUGCUGUGGGACCAAGAGUGUUGUCUGGAAGGACAGAACACAGCACUGAAAAAUUUUGGUUUCAUGGAGGAAAAGAAGUUAAAGGAGAGAUGGUGUGGAGGAGAGAUGUGUGAAAAUAACAAAGGAAUAUAAAGAGUCAUCAACAAGAUCACGGGUGAGACACUGAAGUAGGAAAGCAACCCAUUCAUUCUAGAAUAAAAAUAGCAUCACACAAGUAUAAAGAAGACUCACCCCAGUGGAGAAAUGGGCCCUCUGGGCAUCAAGAAGGGGCAGGUACUUGGGAAUGCGCCCCCCCAACCCCCGAGCGCCCCAGUCUUUGUACCUUUCUGUUGACAAAGGCCCAGCUUCCCUGCAGCUCAACGAACACUUGCUGUUUGAGGCUAAACUGGGAACCAGAUGAAAAAAAGAGGAGUAACCGACCAGCAUCUAAACAAACAAGAAUAAAUUAC